rnacentral:rRNA from 1 species
AUUGAACGCUAGCGGGAUGCCUUACACAUGCAAGUCGAACGGAGUGGCGAACGGGUGAGUAAUGUAUCGGAACGUGCCCAGUCGCGGGGGAUAACUACGCGAAAGCGUAGCUAUUAACGCAUACUAUUGGAGCGGCCGAUGUCGGCGUAGCUAGGUGGUGGGGUAACGGCUCACCAAGGCGACGAUGCGUAGCUGGUUUGAGAGGACGACCAGCCACACGGGGACUGAGACACGGCCCAGACUCCUACGGGAGGCAGCAGUGGGGAAUUUUGGACAAUGGGCGAAACCCUGAUCGAGCCAUCCCGCGUGGGCGAUGAAGGCUUUCGGGUUGUAAAGCACUGUUGUCAGGAAAGCGGUAUCUGCAGAAAAAGCAACGGCUAACUACGUGCCAGCCGCCGCGGUAAUUC